rnacentral:misc_RNA from 1 species
UUUCCGUAGGUGGACCUGCGGAAGGAUCAUUCAUAAUAAAGUGUUUUAUGGCACUUUUUAAAAAUCCAUAUCCACCUUGUGUGCAAUGUUAGAUCUCGUCAAUCUUGGCGAGAUUUUUAUACAUCAACUCAUUCUUUAACUAAUUUGUCUGAAAAAUAUUAUGAAUACUUAAUUCAAAAUACAACUCUCAACAACGGAUCUCUUGGCUCUC